GUUGGGGAAUCUUUGGUUCAAAAUCUAUAAUUCUUAAUUUUGAGGGUGAAGAGGUAGAACAACUAUGUCUGGAUGGGUUUAUUUGGCCUUGUGAGGAUUCUAACCUAUAACUUGAGCUUCGUUGAAUUCCUCUUUGAAAUCUAAUAGAGACAUCUCCUUCAAAAUUUGUAAUGAUUGUAUCUAAUUUACUUUGUUCUUUCCU
rnacentral:lncRNA from 1 species